rnacentral:rRNA from 1 species
UACGUAGGGUCCGAGCGUUGUCCGGAAUUAUUGGGCGUAAAGGGCUCGUAGGCGGUCUGUUGCGUCGGGAGUGAAAACUUACAGCUUAACUGUGAGCGUGCUUCCGAUACGGGCAGACUUGAGGUAUUCAGGGGAGAACGGAAAUUCCUGGUGUAGCGGUGAAAUGACGCAGAUAUCGGGAGGAACACCAAUGGCGAAGGCGAGCUGCGUGGACCGGUACUGACGCUGAGGCUGCGAAAGCGUGGGGAGCAAACAGGG